GUAGAAUCGGUCAUUGCAACCAGGGGAAUAAUAUGUAUCUCUUUCCCGGGAUUGGCCUUGGCACCCUUUUAUCGGGUGCCCGAACCAUCUCUGAUGGCAUGCUUCAGGCUGGAGCCGAGUGUCUGGCUGCAUAUAUGAAAGAUGAGGAGGUUCUCAAAGGAAUCAUAUAUCCUUCAAUAUCCAGUAUUCGUGACAUAACGAAGGAGGUUGCUGCAGCGGUAGUGAGAGAAGCCGUGAGGGAGGAUAUAGCAG
rnacentral:misc_RNA from 1 species